rnacentral:piRNA from 1 species
AACACCGCUGCUCUGGAAGCUGG